CAUCGCCAGGCAUCGGUAUACCCAGUAAUACCCGGACCGCACUAAAUAAGAUUAUUAUUGAUGUUCAUAAAUCAGAGACCGGGGUUAGAAACGUACAGGUCAUAGGAAUCAUCCGUUUAGUGCCGCUACUGCACAUGUGAAAUUUACAGGGGUUGCCCUUGUGAUGAUUUUGCCAGCUCGUCAAAGGUAAAGCUGAUAUAACUUCGGUAUUACGUCAUUGAUACGUAAGAAGGUCUUUUAUGGAUCUGCACACAUUUCUAUUUAG